UACACAUGCAAGUCGAACGCCGYAGCAAURCGGAGUGGCAGACGGGUGAGUAACGCGUGGGAACAUACCCUUCGGUUCGGAAUAACUCAGGGAAACUUGGGCUAAUACCGGAUACGUCCGCGAGGAGAAAGAUUUAUCGCCGAAGGAUUGGCCCGCGUCUGAUUAGCUUGUUGGUGAGGUAAUGGCUCACCAAGGCGACGAUCAGUAGCUGGUCUGAGAGGAUGAUCAGCCACAUUGGGACUGAGACACGGCCCAAACUCCUACGGGAGGCAGCAGUGGGGAAUAUUGGACAAUGGGCGCAAGCCUGAUCCAGCCAUGCCGCGUGAGUGAUGAAGGCCCUAGGGUUGUAAAGCUCUUUUACCCGGGAAGAUAAUGACGGUACCGGGAGAAUAAGCCCCGGCUAACUUCGUGCCAGCAGCCGCGGUAAUACGAAGGGGGCUAGCGUUGUUCGGAAUCACUGGGCGUAAAGCGCACGUAGGCGGAUCUUUAAGUCAGGGGUGAAAUCCCGGGGCUCAACCUCGGAACUGCCUUUGAUACUGGGGAUCUCGAGUCCGGGAGAGGUGAGUGGAACUGCGAGUGUAGAGGUGAAAUUCGUAGAUAUUCGCAAGAACACCAGUGGCGAAGGCGGCUCACUGGCCCGGUACUGACGCUGAGGUGCGAAAGCGUGGGGAGCAAACAGGAUUAGAUACCCUGGUAGUCCACGCCGUAAACGAUGGAUGCUAGCCGUUAGGCAGCUUGCUGCUUAGUGGCGCAGUUAACGCUUUAAGCAUCCCGCCUGGGGAGUACGGUCGCAAGAUAAAACUCAAGAAUUGAC
rnacentral:rRNA from 1 species